UACGAGAGCCCCGAGCGUUAUCCGGAAUUACUGGGCGUAAAGGGCGCGUAGGCGGCCAUCUAAGUCAGACGUGAAAUCCCUCGGCUCAACCGAGGAACUGCGUCUGAUACUGGAAGGCUUGAAUCCGGGAGAGGGAUGUGGAAUUCCAGGUGUAGCGGUGAAAUGCGUAGAUAUCUGGAGGAACACCGGUGGCGAAGGCGGCAUCCUGGACCGGUAUUGACGCUGAGGCGCGAAAGCUAGGGGAGCAAACGGG
rnacentral:rRNA from 1 species